rnacentral:rRNA from 1 species
UGAUUAAGCCAUGCAAGUCAUAUGUUCCUCGCGAACAUGGCAUACUGCUCAGUAACACGUGGAUAACCUGCCCUUGGGUCUGGGAUAACCCCGGGAAACUGGGGAUAAUACCGGAUAACGCAUAUGUGCUGGAAUGCUUUAUGCGUAAAACGGAUUCGUCCGCCCAAGGAUGGGUCUGCGGCCUAUCAGGUAGUAGUGGGUGUAAUGUACCUACUAGCCAACGACGGGUACGGGUUGUGAGAGCAAGAGCCCGGAGAUGGAUUCUGAGACAUGAAUCCAGGCCCUACGGGGCGCAGCAGGCGCGAAAACUUUACAAUGCGGGAAACCGUGAUAAGGGAACACCGAGUGCCAGCAUCAUAUGCUGGCUGUCCAGAUGUGUAAACUACAUCUGUUAGCAAGGGCCGGGCAAGACCGGUGCCAGCCGCCGCGGUAACACCGGCGGCCCGAGUGGUGACCGUUAUUAUUGGGUCUAAAGGGUCCGUAGCCGGUUUGGUCAGUCCUCCGGGAAAUCUGAUAGCUCAACUAUUAGACUUUCGGGGGAUACUGCCAGGCUUGGAACCGGGAGAGGUAAGAGGUACUACAGGGGUAGGAGUGAAAUCUUGUAAUCCCUGUGAGACCACCUGUGGCGAAGGCGUCUUACCAGAACGGGUUCGACGGUGAGGGACGAAAGCUGGGGGCACGAACCGGAUUAGAUACCCGGGUAGUCCCAGCCGUAAACUAUGCUCG